rnacentral:rRNA from 1 species
GACGAACGCUGGCGGCGUGCCUAAUACAUGCAAGUAGGACGCAGUUGCGAACGGGUGAGUAACGCGUCGGUAACUGCCUAUUAGAGGGGGAUAACUAUUGGAAACGAUAGCUAAUACCGCAUACUAGUAGAUGGACCUGCGGUGUAUUAGCUAGUAGGUCGGGUAAUGGCCUACCUAGGCAACGAUACAUAGCCUAGCUUGGGGGGUGAUCGGCCAACAUUGGACUGGGACACGGCCCAGACUCCUACGGGAGGCAGCAGGAGGGAAACUUCGGAAAUGGGGGGAAACCUGACCGAGCAACGCCGCGUGAGUGAAGAAGGUUUUCGGAUCGUAAAGCUCUGUUGUGAAGGAAGCGGUACUUAACGAGAAAGGGACGGCUAACUACGUGCCAGCCGCCGCGGUAAUUC